UUUACUUUACAAGAAAGGGAAAAUGCAAAUAUGCAGCUCGGCAGACCUUUCAUCAAUACUAGAUACCAAGACAAAAUAUACAUGAAUCUGCUGAUGUAGACAGAAGAACAGAAAACCACACGAUCCAUUUAUCCCCAGUAAAUCAAGAAACUUGGCACAAAGGCAGUGUUAGUCUCUGGAGACUGUUCAGCAGAAUCUACUUUAUACUCAAGGGGAAUAAAGGUGUUUUCAGUAGUGAUGGGCGAAAAGUUUCGC